rnacentral:rRNA from 1 species
CCUACGGGGUGCAACAGUGAGGAAUAUUGGUCAAUGGACGAGAGUCUGAACCAGCCAAGUAGCGUGAAGGAUGACUGCCCUAUGGGUUGUAAACUUCUUUUAUAUGGGAAUAAAAUGUUCCACGUGUGGGAUUUUGUAUGUACCAUAUGAAUAAGGAUCGGCUAACUCCGUGCCAGCAGCCGCGGUAAUACGGAGGAUCCGAGCGUUAUCCGGAUUUAUUGGGUUUAAAGGGAGCGUAGGUGGAUUGUUAAGUCAGUUGUGAAAGUUUGCGGCUCAACCGUAAAAUUGCAGUUGAAACUGGCAGUCUUGAGUACAGUAGAGGUGGGCGGAAUUCGUGGUGUAGCGGUGAAAUGCUUAGAUAUCACGAAGAACUCCGAUUGCGAAGGCAGUUCACUGGACUGCAACUGACACUGAGGCUCGAAAGUGUGGGUAUCAAACAGGAUUAGAUACCCUAGUAGUC